rnacentral:tRNA from 1 species
AUACUUAUAGCUUAAAUGAAUAAAGCAGUGGGCUCAUAAUCCAUAUAGUAAAGGUUUGAAUCCUUUUAAGUAUA